ensembl:snoRNA U3 Small nucleolar RNA U3
AAGACUGUGCUUUUAGGGAUCAUUUUUAUAGUAUGUUACUAGAGAAUUAUGGCUGAAAGUAUAGAAUGGAGGUAACCAUGAGGAGGAGCUGUGGUGUUAUCUUCUGAGUGUGAAGCUGGUUUGUGACACUGCUGAUCAGCAGCUGUCACCUACCAUUGAUGAUCGUUUUUCCUUACUUUGACUUGGGUGAGAGGAAGAGAACAUGGGCUGAGUG